rnacentral:rRNA from 1 species
UACGAGUGCCCCAAGCGUUAUCCGGAAUUAUUGGGCGUAAAGGGUGUGUAGGUGGUUCUGUUAGUCUUUUGUUAAAGCUCUCGGCUUAACCGGGAACAUGCAGAGGAAACGGCAGAACUAGAGGAUGCGAGAGGUGUGCGGAACUCAUGGUGUAGGGGUGAAAUCCGUUGAUAUCAUGGGGAACACCGAAAGCGAAGGCAGCACACUGGCGCACUCCUGACACUGAAACACGAAAGCGUGGGUAGCGAAUGGG